rnacentral:rRNA from 1 species
GUAGUCAUAUGCUUGUCUCAAAGAUUAAGCCAUGCAUGUCUAAGUAUAAGCAAUUAUACAGCGAAACUGCGAAUGGCUCAUUAUAUAAGUUAUCGUUUAUUUGAUAGUACCUUACUACUUGGAUAACCGUGGUAAUUCUAGAGCUAAUACAUGCUAAAAAUCCCGACUUCGGAAGGGAUGUAUUUAUUAGAUUAAAAACCAAUGCCCUCCGGGGCUCACUGGUGAUUCAUGAUAACUUCUCGAAUCGCAUGGCCUUGCGCCGGCGAUGGUUCAUUCAAAUUUCUUCCCUAUCAACUUUCGAUGUUUGGGUAUUGGCCAAACAUGGUUGCAACGGGUAACGGAGGGUUAGGGCUCGACCCCGGAGAAGGAGCCUGAGAAACGGCUACUACAUCCAAGGAAGGCAGCAGGCGCGCAAAUUACCCAAUCCCGACUCGGGGAGGUAGUGACAAUAAAUACUGAUACAGGGCUCUUUUGGGUCUUGUAAUUGGAAUGAGUACAAUUUAAAUCCCUUAACGAGGAACAAUUGGAGGGCAAGUCUGGUGCCAGCAGCC